AUGCCAUGGUUGGAUUUGAAUGGGGGCAGCCGUUUGAAAUCUAAUUCAGAAGAUACACAACCUAAGAUCGAAAUAUUCCUACCUGAACCAAAGGGUUGUACGCCUACCAUUAUUAUCUUCUCCUAUGCUAUUUAUGUUCUUCAUAUCCCCAAUAAUUUAUUCAGUCUUACUUUUGACAUAAAACACAAGUUGACUUUGAACCCCUUCUCCACUAAGACUGCGUUUUUGUUGUUGAACCGAGAUUUGCUAAGCUUGGCAGAGAGGAUAGCUGUUUUUUUUUUGCAGAGAACUAGGCUCUAA
rnacentral:rRNA from 1 species